AGCGGGUUUUCUUUUUUUUUUUUGCUGUAGUUAUCUCCGCCUUUUCCUGCCCAUCUUCCCACCAAUCACGUUUCCUACAAACUUAGGUCGUGGGUUCAAUUCAGUUGCGUACUGGUCUUAUAAGAUGUAGAGGCGUACAUCCAAAGCCUACAAUUGAAGCAGAGUUGAGGAAGCAUUCCAACAGAGAGCUGGAUCAAAUUAGGGAUUUUCUCACACAUUUAAAACCCUAAUCAGCAUAUCAUGCUAAUGGAAAUAGUACACCCAACUCACGAUACCUGCCUUCAUUGAUCUUCAAUUACCUCUGUCUAUUUCUGAAGCGUUUAGGAAACAUCGAACAGCCCUCGCGUUCUUCAAUUCACGGUACCUGUUUACAUCGAACAAUCACCGUCGGCGGCUUCGUCAUCGGAAGCGUUUAGAAUCCAAUGAAACUUAUAUUCAGGACAUGGAUUCAGGUUUAUCAUCUUAUUUUUGAGACAAGUCAUCCGAUUUAAUGCAGAUAGCGUCUUCUUCUUGAAGUGCAUUUCGUCGAACAACUUCAGAUAUGGAAUCUGAGGUCUCAAGUGAAGUUUACCAUUCUCUGCACUUGCGUAAGAGCUCUAAGCCACCUAUUAGUUGAAAAGGCAAAUUUGUUGUUGUAGAUCUUGCAGGCUCUGAGCGUGCUCACAAGUCAGGAAGUGAGGGACUCACAUUAGAGGAAGCUAAAUCUUGAAAAAAUCUUCCAUUAAGUGCAGAAAUGCUCUUGGAAGUAAUAGUCCUCAUGUACCAUAGAUGAUAGUCUUUCAGCAAGAAACUUGGAGAUAAAUGUAGUUAUUUGACGACUUGCUUCUACAACACAGGAGUUGGCUCAUUUCCACUCCGGGAAUGAAGAUGACAUGUAUUUGGCUUACUCUUGACUUUCGUCCAUAUUAGCUUGCUGACUCGUCAUGUAUGAAAGAGUUAAAUCUUGACAAUGGGAGUAAAUCUCGAAGCGUUUUGUCAAUGGAUGGCUUAGCUUGUACAUAAGUGGCGACUAACCAAACCUGUUUGAUUUGUUUUGUACAUGUAUGGUGGGUGCAUGAGUUCAGCAAGGCUUGCUGAUUGAAAGUGACACAUGAGUAAUCAUAAUGCAGAACACCCACCUACUAUUUUUUGUUUAGGUGUAAAGAUGGAAGCCACGAUAUAACGCGUAGAGAGCAUGCGUGUUCAUGAAACAUUCCACACAUAUUCGCUUUUGUUUGGCGUACAUUGUUACUUGGUGUCUUACUUGAGCCGACUAUCUGUGUUUUUUAUGUUUUAGUAAUCAACAAUUCACUUAAAGACUUCGUGCAAUCUAAGUUAUUGAAAUUGUAUCUAUCCUUUCUUUUUUAUUUUAGGCAUUUUAUUAAAGUUAUUAAAGAUUUAUGUCAAGGCGAAAAUACGUUUAGGUUGAAACAAGUAGUUCUAGGUUGAAUGAACAACUCAAAAUUCUCGCAUAGAGUUAUGCAAUGUAAUAUAAAGUGGGCUACUUUCCACCUAUUAAUCUGCUUCAAUGACCUAUUUUAUUUUAAGCUAUUUUUUAUUUCACCCGUUAGAGAUGAACAUGACGCAAGUAAACGUUUUAAUAAACAAAUUGUUUGAAAUUGGCAUUUCUAGGUUGAAUGAACAUUUGGCGCUACUUAUUUGGUCAAUAAUUUACUGUUUUCAGGCUUCAGUCCUAGAUCUUGGCCGAAACUCAAAGAUUUUGUUGGAGAUAGUUGGUUUGUUUGGGGAUUCUCGAUGUUCUUGCUUAGAUUAUUCCUAUGAGUAUUGAUUCAUGUUUCAUAAAUACUUGCUCGUGUAUAUAAUACGCACCAAAAUGUUGUAUAUCUUUCCGGUCGUCAUGUUAAGGAAUCAUGGUUAAGUCUAUUGAUAUUGAAGCUGCUUAUCUCCCAUCAAUGCGCUUAUAUUCUUGGUUAAAGGUGAAGUGACUUAAGUGCUUCCUUAAAAAGUUGAUGACUGUUUCGUUUGUCAAAAGCAUACAUCUCUGUUUCUGUAAAUAGCAACUAGAAGGUAGGGGUUUCACUUCUACAGCAAUAAAUGCUUUUGUUAGAGGAAUUGAGAUUACCAGAAGUGAUGGUAGUAUGAUACGUUUGGAGCGCCUUGAAUAUCAUGUACGAGAAGAACUUAAUAAAACAGCUUCUUGUGCGAUGGUUGUGCUACAUCCACUAAAGUUAUUACCAAUCUUGAACCAAGUUCAAUAAUAGAUCUUGAUGCAAAGAAAUGGCCAGAUGCCCCUGUUGAUGAUGCAUCUUCAUACUACAAGGUAGACUUCUCACUCUCUCUCUCUAUGUAUUGGUAUUAUGAUGGUGUAUUGCAAAAAUGGGCAGGUUGGGUAACAGGUCAGGUACGUUGGGGCCGUACUAAAUGGCACCAACGGGUCAGCUUCAUAAAACGGGUCAAGCAGGUAAGCUUUUUUAGAUAGGUAGAACAGUCAUUUUCUUUUUAACGGGUCGAAUGAGUUCAUUUUACCAAAGGGUGAAACAAGAUAGAUUUCUUACUUAGGUAACACGGUUAAAAUGAGUGACUGGAUCGGCGUUGCUUGGCUCCCCCCCCCAACCCCCUGCCGCACGCCGGGCUUCAUAGCCACGCCAGCAGGCAACACCGCAACCCACGCUGACCCGAUGUGGCUGAACCGGCGUUGCUUGGCUUUCCCGCCCUAACCCACGCCCCACGGUCUAAGUAGUGGUCAUUUAGUUUUUUGUUAGUUUUUGGCAAAAGUCAGUUUUAGUUCUAUCCGCCGACAUUUUAAGGCUAAUGGUGAAUAUUAUAUUCUAUUUUGUUUAUUCAACUAUAAAGUGGCUGUCUGAAUGAAUAUAACAAAACCGUCUACACACUUGUGACGUUCGUUUUCCUUUUAUAAAAAGAAUGGUGUUUUUCUUUGUCCUGUUGUAUAAUUUUGUCUACACUUAAUAUAGGUUAGCUUUUUUAUGUCACAUUACUUCAUAUAAUUGUGUAAUCUGACUCUGUUUUAUAUCUUUAUAUUCAUUCAUUCAUUCAUGUUAUAUUACAUUAACAUACGUAACCCUUCCAAUCGACCCCACUCCCAACGUCGUCUCUCUCAAUAGCGUCUUCACUCUCUCUGGCCUCACUCUCUCUGUCUCUGAAGAUGUAGUCACCGGCAACCGGGAGACAAACAUGUAGUGUGUCACUUUGAAGAGGGAAGAGUAGAGGUCAAGCACUGAUAUUUGAUUGUUUAAAUUACAAAACUACCCCUGAGAAGCCUUUUAUGUUUUGUUAUUACUAGGGCAAUACUAAAUAAAUAUUACUUGGACAGAUAUAUAUGAAAGUCUGAGAUUUGGUUGUCGAGUUAAGAAAUCAAAAGUAUUGUAAAUAUUUCAAAUGUAACUUCGUUAAGUGCGUCAUUCAGUCAUUUAUAUAUGAUUUAUUUUAUUUAUGGAA